rnacentral:lncRNA from 1 species
CUCUUGAGCUCUUGUGGUGACCUGGGAAUCAAUGUGUGAGGUGGUGCUAUGUAGCAGGAACCCCUCUUGCUUUGCAAAUAGUUUUUUGUUUGUUUUCCUUUUUGCCCAAUAGAGCCCUGCUCUACUGACCCUUCAAUGUGCCCGUGUGCCUAAAUAUUCCUGGUCGUGUGAAAAGAACCCAGGUAUUAGCUGAACUAAGGAGCACAAUUCUGCAACAUUUUGGCACCCAAACACGGGGCUUGAGAAAUGAAUGCAAUUGGAGAAACUGGUUGUUUUACCAGGCGUUGAUUGGAAAUGUGUGCUUCCCUUUAAGCAGUCAAGCUCAACUUGCAGAACUGAUGGGAACCCCUUGGGAAAACUGGCCUCAAAUGUUUGUCUACACAGUCCACAUACAGGGUUCUUAACCUGCGACUGACCCUGCUUGUGCCUGUGAACCAACCAACAAUCUCUGGCUGCAGCUCAGAAAGGACAAAAGAGAAUGGGUAAUGUAAAAACCUGGAUCAGUAUUUUAGUUCUGAACAAUUAUCCUGCAAAUCCUGCCAGCUGAUGGGAAUAAAUAGGAUGCCCAUGAUCCGGAGGUUUACUUUUUGGGAAAGUAAAACCAAGGGAGCUAACCAAAGUAAAACCCCAUACACCCAAAUCUGAGCAAGCAUAACUAUAGCCACCAGUUAUCUGGGUGUGUCACAAGACACUCUUUUCUUUCCUUUGUUGGAGGAGAACUCAUUUCCACAGCUUCACUUUAGCAUUAUGGCUUAUGUUAAGGAGUCUAUGCAACUUCCAUGCUGAGACACGUUUUUGGUCCCAAAGUUAAUUCCAAGCUUUGUGUCAAAGGCCUAAGAAAACUGGAUCUUAGGGAUCCAGAAGCCAGACAAUAAUGAAAGUCAAAAGGCACAGCACAGGUGAGCAUGACUAAUUCCCGCUGAUUAAGCCAAGCUUCCUGUUUCAUGGAUAAAGGUCAUGCUAGUAUCCAUGGCAUAAAUGAGGUCUAGAGAACUAAAAGGCUACUGCCAGCAGGGGAGAUAGGGAGGACAUAAGACAGGGCAGCUAUUCCCAUCCCCUAGACCCCCUGUUAACAUGGAUGAAAGCCACUUUGACACCCAUGGGUGGCACCCUGUCACAGUUGGUGGGACUCAGCAAUACAGGGACAGAGGAAAGAAAGAGGAACAACUCACUUUCUCUCCCUCACACACCCUGAGUAUUUGCUAGAAAAAGAAAGGAACCAGGCACACAUGCUCCCCUAUUUCUAGAUGAGUAGCCAUUCAUCUUUAGUCUGCACCCUUUUAGAACAUGUCCUGAACCCCUGGGACUCUUCUGAAAAAAAUGCCUUCUUUUUUCCUUUUUCUUCCUCUGUCCUCUAUUCACUGGUAGGUAGGUAAUGGUGUCCCAUACCACAGAACACUUCCCUCAGAUGCAUCCUUCUAACUGGGAGGAGUUAAUUUCUCAAACCGUAGACUAAUUGGCUUAGGAUUAGGUUCAGGGGAAGGGAACACAGAAACAUGACAUGCCAGCAAAAGGGUAAAAGGUUUUUUUUCCCCGUUGGGCUUUUGGCCUCUCUCUCCCUGUGCAAACUGGUAAAAGGCGUCUGGAUUUUCUAGUUGUCCUUACCCACUGCUUGUUUCGUUUUGAUACAUAUUUUCUAAUAACCUGUUUGUCUCUUCUCACUUUUAGGCCAUCAAACUCCAGUCUGCACCUGGAGCCUUGGAUGAUGGCCUUUUUUACUGGGAACCCUGAAAUAGGCCUCUGAGGGAAAUCUGAUUGCCAUUUUCCCAAAACAGCUUCCCUGACAAUAGGAAGCAAUUAAGAUUGGUCUUCAUCCUUAUCUUUAUCCUUAUUCUAAUGGCAGUUAGAGGUACUUCUUUAGAGGGGGGAAUGAGACAGCCAAAUGCCUAGGCAGAUAAAAAGGUGUACCUGGAAAAUUUCCAACCCGUCACACAAGUGUUUACAUCAGAUGCUUUUGUGUAGAUGAGGGAAACUUCCCAGGGCUUGUCUGGGUAUGCCCACAGUGGACUGGAGCCCAAAAUGCACACUGGAGGAAGUGGAUGGAGCCACGUGGAUGUCAUGCCUUAUGCAGGGGAGGAGCCUGCUCUCUUCAGCUCCUGUGGUAAUGUGGGAAUCGAUCUGUGAGGUGAGGACCUGUUAGCAGGAACCCCUCUUGCUUUGCUGAAAGUUUUAUUUUUCUUUUUGCCCUAUAAAACCCUGUUCUACUAACCCUUCAAUAUGUCUGCAUUCCUAAAUUUUCCUGGUCAUGUGACGAGAACCUAGGUUUUAGCUGAACUAAGGAGCAAAAUUCUGCAACAUAAAGUCAAAGAAAACUAUGCCUAUAUCCAUUAAAUCAAAUGUUAAAAAGCAAAUAUAAAGAAAAAGUCUUCACAGCCCUAGAGAAAAGUGAAACAUUGUACAUAAAGAAGUAAUAAUUUGAAUGGAUUGUCAGAAACCAUGACUAGAAGACAGAGGAGCAAUAUUUUCAAAUUUCAUAGAGAAAGGAAAAAAAGAAAAGAAGAAAAAAAAGAAGACAUAAUAAAACACCUGUCAUUUUAGUAUUCUGUACCCAUUGAACAUAACCUUCAAUAGAAUGUGAAGUAGACAUAUUCAGGUGAAUAAAAAAUCAAGAGAAUAAUAGUUAUGUUCUACAUGAAAUUAUAAAGGAAAUUUCUCAGACUAGGUGGAAAUUAUACUAGUGAGAAACAGAUUUGAAGGACUAAAGGAAGAGAUGAUAGACUGACAAAGUCAAUUUUUAAAAGCCAGAUCUAACUUCUUAUUGGCUACAAGGAAUCCACUUUUAAUAUACAAAAAUAGGUAAUAAUUAAAUUGCUAGAAAAUACAUUUCAAAUAAAGAAUCAGCACAUGUAGCUUGGAGAAGAUAUAUUAACAUAAAAAGGACUUCAAUAAAAGGAGUAUUAUGAGAAGACAUUUAUGCAGCCAAAAAACACAUGAAAAAAUGCUCACCAUCACUGGCCAUCAGAGAAAUGCAAAUCAAAACCACAAUGAGAUACCAUCUCACACCAGUUAGAAUGGCAAUCAUUAAAAAGUCAGGAAACAACAGGUGCUGGAGAGGAUGUGGAGAAAUAGGAACACUUUUACACUGUUGGUGGGACUGUAAACUAGUUCAACCAUUGUGGAAGUCAGUGUGGUGAUUCCUCAGGGAUCUAGAACUGGAAAUACCAUUUGACCCAGCCAUCCCAUUACUGGGUGUAUACCCAAAGGACUAUAAAUCAUGCUUCUAUAAAGACACAUGCACAGGUAUGUUUAUUGCGGCACUAUUCACAAUAGCAAAGACCUGGAACCAACCCAAAUGUCCAACAAUGAUAGACUGGAUUAAGAAAAUGUGGCACAUAUACACCAUGGAAUACUAUGCAGCCAUAAAAAAUGAUGAGUUCAUGUCCUUUGUAGGGACAUGGAUGAAAUUGGAAAUCAUCAUUCUCAGUAAACUAUCACAAGGACAAAAAACCAAACACCACAUAUUCUCACUCAUAGGUGGGAAUUGAACAAUGAGAUCACAUGGACACGGGAAAGGGAACAUCACACUCUGGGGACUGUUGUGGGGUGGGGGGAGAGGGGAGGGAUAGCAUUAGGAGAUAUACCUAAUGCUAAAUGAUGAGUUAAUGAGUGCAGCACACCAGCAUGGCACAUGUAUACAUAUGUAACUAACCUUUACGUUGUGCACAUGUACCCUAAAACUUAAAGUAUAAUAAUAAUAAAAUAAAAUAAAAUAAAAAUUUAUCAGAAAAACAAUAUCAAUUAUAAUGUAUAUACCUAAUAAGAGAGCUCAAAAUAUUUGAAACAAAUCUGACAGAAUUAAAAAGAAGAAUGGAUAAAUUCACAAUUAUAGAAAAAGAUUAUACACCAGUUUCUUAAUAAUUGAUACAACCACUGGAGAAAUAAUAAGAAAGCAAAAAUAAAGACAUAGAUCCAAA